GACGAACGCUGGCGGCGUGCCUAAUACAUGCAAGUCGAACGCAGUGGGGACGGGUGAGUAACACGUUGGUAACCUCCCAUCAGAGGGGAUAACACUUGGAAACAGGUGCUAAACCGAUACUGAUGGAUGGACCCGCGGUGCAUUAGCUAGUUGGUGAGGUAACGGCUCACCAAGGCCACGAUGCAUAGCAGACCUGAAGGGGUAGUCGAACACACUGGGACUGCGUCACGGCCCAGACUCCUGCGGGAGGCAGCAAUAUGGAAUCUUCGGAAAUGGACGAAAGUCUGACCGAGCAACGCCGCGUGAGUGAAGAAGGUUUUCGGAUCGUAAAACUCUGUUGUUAGAGAAGCGGUAUCUAACAAGAAAGCCAAGGCUAACUACGUGCCAGCAGCCGCGGUAAUAC
rnacentral:rRNA from 1 species